rnacentral:rRNA from 1 species
UGGGGAAUUUUGGACAAUGGGGGAAACCCUGAUCCAGCCAUGCCGCGUGCGGGAAGAAGGCCUUCGGGUUGUAAACCGCUUUUGUCCGGGAAGAAAUGACCUCCCCUAAUACGGGGGGUUCCUGACGGUACCGGAAGAAUAAGCACCGGCUAACUACGUGCCAGCAGCCGCGGUAAUACGUAGGGUGCGAGCGUUAAUCGGAAUUACUGGGCGUAAAGCGUGCGCAGGCGGUUCGCUAAGUCUGAUGUGAAAGCCCCGGGCUCAACCUGGGAAUGGCAUUGGAAACUGGCGGGCUUGAGUGUGGCAGAGGGGGGUGGAAUUCCACGUGUAGCAGUGAAAUGCGUAGAGAUGUGGAGGAACACCGAUGGCGAAGGCAGCCCCCUGGGCUAACACUGACGCUCAGGCACGAAAGCGUGGGGAGCAAACAGAAUUAGAUACCCUGGUAGUCCACGCUGUAAACGAUGGGCACUAGGUGUGGGGGGUAUCCACUCCUCCCGUGCCGCAGCUAACGCACUAAGUGCCCCGCCUGGGGAGUACGGCCGCAAGGCUA